rnacentral:rRNA from 1 species
ACGCUGGCGGCGUGCCUAAUACAUGCAAGUCGAACGGACAAGUAAGAGCUUGCUCUUAUGAGUUAGUGGCGCACGGGUGAGUAAUGUAUAGCUAAUCUGCCCUACACUAGAGGACAACAGUUGGAAACGACUGCUAAUACUCUAUACUCCUCUCUAGCAUAAGUUAGAUAGGGAAAGUUUUUCGGUGUAGGAUGAGGCUAUAUUGUAUCAGCUAGUUGGUGAGGUAAUGGCUCACCAAGGCUAUGACGCGUAACUGGUCUGAGAGGAUGAUCAGUCACACUGGAACUGAGACACGGUCCAGACUCCUACGGGAGGCAGCAGUAGGGAAUAUUGCUCAGUGGGGGAAACCCUGAAGCAGCAACGCCGCGUGGAGGAUGACACUUUUCGGAGCGUAAACUCCUUUUGUUAGGGAAGAACAAUGACGGUACCUAACGAAUAAGCACCGGCUAACUCCGUGCCAGCAGCCGCGGUAAUACGGAGGGUGCAAGCGUUACUCGGAAUCACUGGGCGUAAAGGACGCGUAGGCGGAUUAUCAAGUCUCUUGUGAAAUCCUAUGGCUUAACCAUAGAACUGCUUGGGAAACUGAUAAUCUAGAGUGAGGGAGAGGCAGAUGGAAUUGGUGGUGUAGGGGUAAAAUCCGUAGAGAUCACCAGGAAUACCCAUUGCGAAGGCGAUCUGCUGGAACUCAACUGACGCUAAUGCGUGAAAGCGUGGGGAGCAAACAGGAUUAGAUACCCUGGUAGUCCACGCCCUAAACGAUGUAUACUAGUUGUUGCUAAGCUAGUCUUGGCAGUAAUGCACCUAACGGAUCAAGUAUACCGCCUGGGGAGUACGGUCGCAAGAUUAAAACUCAAAGGAAUAGACGGGGACCCGCACAAGCGGUGGAGCAUGUGGUUUAAUUCGAAGACACGCGAAGAACCUUACCCGGAC